UCGGGAAGUGGCCCUAUUCUUCGGAUUGCUCGAAGAGAUGGAGACAAGGGAAGCGAGCGGUGCGAUCGUCGGCAAGCGAGGGAGCGUGCAGGUUCUGACGCCGUCGCUUUUAGUGGAUUUCCUUCGUCGUCGCAUGGGAGCUGAUUCUCCAUUUGCAGACUCUCGAUGAUAUUGGGCGAAUGUUGCAGCGGAAGCCUACUAUGUGGAUUUCCUUCUUCGUCUCCGUGGAAGUUGAUUCUUCAUCUUCUGGUUGGUGAUUCACUCGUUCCCUUUUGUUUUAGUCACCUACUUUUUCAUUCCUCGCCGCUUGAUCCGUUGUAUUCCCUUGGUUUUUGGAGCCGUCUUGAGAAUCUCAUCAGGAUCGAUCGAUUAGCCUUCCUGUGUUGUGCGAAUCUAACGGAAGCGAUGUUCAGGAACAAAAAUAAUACUUUCUAGGUUUGAUAAUUCAAAUAUAUGCGGGUCAAUUAGUGGUAAAUCUAUUUUCGAUCCACACUCAUCUAAGGCUAAUAUCACUAAUCUAAUUUUUCAUUAUCCUUAAUUGGUUAUGAGAAAUACGAUAUUGGAUGUGGUGAUAGUGAAGGAAUAAUGAGCCUUUCUAAAUUAUAUUAUUUAUGAGCGAAGGUGGAGGAUGUUCCAAUUAACUCUAGAUUUCAUUUUCUAAAACGCCUUGUAAAAUUAGGAAAUUUUCCCUCCACUAGUCCUAUUGUUCUAGGAUGAUUGCUAACCCCCAUUGCAGUAGUACUAGGUUGUGAUAUUGAAUGUUUAGAAAUGGUGGAUAAUUCCCCAAGGGUUGAUUUAAAUGCAUGUUUGGCAAUACGUAUGAUACGAUGAGAUGGUUAUGACUAUCUUAUUUUGGAAAAUAAUUUUUCUUUGUGAAUGUCAAAUUCUAAUUUAACCAUCAUUCGCAAUAAGACAAAUUGGCUUUUAUCUAAUGCCAAUAAACAACAUAUUCCCUCUCUUAUACUAGCUUUCAAAGAUGUUCUUUUAAGUAGUUGAGAUCUCACUAGAUUUAAUUUCCAUGGAUUCCAUCAUAUUUUAGACACUUUUCAUCACGACUAUGCUUGACAUAAUGAUCUGUUGAAGAAAUAGAUAUGUUUGUCGGAUGAACAAUUUCAAUAUUUGCGAGACUAUUUUAAAAGCGAGAAGAAAUUGUUUAAGAAAUGACUAGUUUUAUGGAUGCCCAAAGGGAGGGAUUGAAGUUGAAUGAUGAUUUCAGGGAAGUUAUGAGACAAAUUCACAUUGAAAUUGAUACAAUAUAUAAGUAUCAUAAGUUCUUGAGUGAUAGAAAGAAGUGGUUUAUUGAAAUGUUUCCUAUCCUUCUAGAGUUCACUAAUUAUCCCUCUCCUCUACCAUAUUGAUUUCAUUGCGACAAUGAAAAGCUUAAAUACGGGCGGAGGGUGGGACGUGGCCAUGGAUGGGUGGCAUGAUUGUGCCUUUUAGCAACGCUAGACUAUGUUUUCUCUUCGUUGAACCUAAAGUAAAGUUGUAGAUCUUGAAGUUAGCUAUAAUUUGAUAUCUAGAACAGUCUGUACGCAACUCCAACCGAUCGCAAACUUAUGACCAUUUCAAAAUUAGUCUAUAGUUUUCCAAAAUUCAAUACAGCCAUGUUUUUGUGCAUCAUGACCCCAACUCCACACCACAUAGCAUGGAGAGGCACGACAUUGCCAAAAGCCAUGACCCCUCUUUCAAGUGCUCGUGAACCAACCUUCGAUUGUCUAGAUAUUUCACUGUGCAAAAUUAAUUAGUGCUUAAAUAAUAGUCCCUGUGGGAUUAAUAUUUUUUUAUUUGACGAUAACUGUGCACUUGCGGAUUGUACAACAAGUUUUUCGCGCUUUUAUCGGAGAUUAUUUUCGAUUAACAUUAGUUGAUUAACAUUUGAGUUACUCUAAAUAUUUUUUCUUUUUAUAUUUUUCUUUAUCUUGUUUUUCAUUUUGUAUUUUUAUUUUUGUUUACUUCUACAUGCCUAUCUUGUUCUGACUAGUAUCAUUUAGAUGGACAUGUUCUCCUUGAAUGUAAAAAAUAAAUUCUCAAACUCAAUGGUUCGACCAAUCAGAGGCUAUGAAUUCUACUAGUGUUUAUUGUGAACUUUGUGGUGCAAUAUGACAUGUAAUAGAAAUUUGUCCAAUACUUAUUGACCUUGCAUAUAGAAUAGGUGGAGAAAAAUGUGAUGUUCUCCCUGAUUACAAUGAGUGGUUGCAAAAACAAUAAUAUUGUAAGGUUUGUGAAGAAAUGGGGCAUACAACUGAAAAUUGCUGCAAGAUUUGUAGGUUGAAAAUUUUGAUGAAAUGUUUUCUAAAACUCAAAACAACUAGGACACAGAGGGUGAAGGCACUAUGACAUCAAUUGAAGAAGAAGAUUUAGUUGUAUCUAUCAAUGUCGUUGAUACUUUUGUUGGUAAUUUGAUGUUGAUAUAUUAUAUCCUGCAUAUGAUUUUGUUGUGGAUGGAAGUGUAGAGACUUGUGAUGUAGAAAUAAUGCCCCAAGAAUCAUUUACAAUGGCUUGACACAAUGGAUGUAUAACAAUUUGAACAAGUUGACAAUGAAAGAGUAGGAACUUGUGUAGUAGAAGUAAAGUCUCAAGAAUUACCUCUUUUAGUGAGACCAUCAUUUGAGGCAGAACCUUUCUUAUCUAAAUGUGAAACCAUAUUUGAUGAUUUACUUACUCUAGUGAUUAGUAAAAGUCAAAUUUCAUUUGAUAUAUCUACUGCUACUAAUCAAUUCUUUUUUGAGCAUGUUGGUGGUAGGAUGUAUUUUGCACAGCAUUCAACUAGACGACCUCAUGAUGAGUCUUUGAAGGAGAGCAUAUUUGUUAAAAGACUAAGAAUCCUUGACUAAAGGGUUCUAAAAUAUUUGAUGCCUCAAAGAGUGUGAUUUAGAAAUGCCAAAUAAGGGGCGAACUAAUAAGCACUUCUUGUGAGGCAACCCAAGUUCUUCCUUAUUUUUAAUUUAAGCUUUUAGUAUCUUUUUAAGUGUCUGUUCUUUCUUUAUAUUAACCUAAAUCCCUCUACUUAAUUUUUAUUGUCUAAUUUCCUUUUGUAAGAUUUAAAGUUAUGGAAGAAUGUGAAUCCCAUAUAGAGAAGUAUCAACAACACAUGAACUUCUCAACCAUUUGGAGCCUAUCACUUGCUUACGCAACAAGAGAUCGUGGGGCAAACAAUUGGAGGGCACGAGAAAAAAGCGUUAAGGCUCAAUUCACGGAGGACAUUCCAAGACAUAGCUUCAUGGAGGUCGGCAACAUUUCAUAUGAGAUGACUGGCAUUCCAAUAAUUUGUUCACAUAAUUGUACAAUAAUCUCCUAAAAGCUCAUUCUCCUGAAGCUUAAGAUGAUGAUGAUGAUGUAUGGAGAAGCAGGCUAGUAGACUCGCACAAAGGCAUGCCUAAUUAAGCUAAGUGUCUUGGGACUCCCGGUCUAAGUAAUAAUUGGGACACCUGUUCUGGUUGCGGGUGUCUAUAGUCACAAUUAUUACCAUAAUGCAUAUGCCUUGAUUGACCACUAAAUACUAAUAACUAAGUGACGUCACU